rnacentral:rRNA from 1 species
UAGGGGAUCUUCGGACCUUACGUUAUAAGAGCGGCCGAUAUCUGAUUAGCUAGUUGGUGGGGUAAUGGCCUACCAAGGCGACGAUCAGUAGCUGGUCUGAGAGGACGACCAGCCACACUGGAACUGAGACACGGUCCAGACUCCUACGGGAGGCAGCAGUGGGGAAUUUUGGACAAUGGGCGCAAGCCUGAUCCAGCCAUUCCGCGUGAGUGAAGAAGGCCUUCGGGUUGUAAAGCUCUUUCGCAAGGGAAGAAAACUUAUUCUCUAAUAUAGGAUGAGGUUGACGGUACCUUGAUAAGAAGCACCGGCUAACUACGUGCCAGCAGCCGCGGUAAUACGUAGGGUGCGAGCGUUAAUCGGAAUUACUGGGCGUAAAGCGUGCGCAGGCGGUUUUGUAAGUCAGAUGUGAAAUCCCCGAGCUCAACUUGGGAACUGCGUUUGAAACUACAAGACUAGAAUAUGUCAGAGGGGGGUAGAAUUCCACGUGUAGCAGUGAAAUGCGUAGAGAUGUGGAGGAAUACCAAUGGCGAAGGCAGCCCCCUGGGAUAAUAUUGACGCUCAUGCACGAAAGCGUGGGGAGCAAACAGGAUUAGAUACCCUGGUAGUCCACGCCCUAAACGAUGUCUACUAGUUGUUGGUGGAGUAAAAUCCAUGAGUAACGCAGCUAACGCGUGAAGUAGACCGCCUGGAGAGUACGGUCGCAAGAUU